ensembl:lncRNA
UUGAGGGUGCGAAGGUGAACAUAUCUACUGGUAAAUACACACCAACAGAUAUGGAGAGCAAGCUGAUGUUUUUGGUGGUUUGUGUGAUUGGUUGUGCAGUGUCUUGCAUAAAGGCUGACGGGCACCUAUCAACGCCAACAAAUUUAACUUCCAACAUCACCCGCAAUGAGUGUGGAAAAACCAAACUGUGUUUGGACAACCCUAAAGGAUGUGAUCCUUCAGGCAGCUCUCAGUGUUUCUUCACCUCAGUACAGAUUAUCUUAACUACCUUCAACCUGACGGUUGAGCUCAGUGGCAACUCCAUCGGUUACAUUGCUUUAGCAGCUGGAGUGACAUCUAGUGUGGCUCAGGGCCUCAAUAUCAUCUUUGUCUGUGGCAAUAAUAAUGGCAGGUUCUUCUUCCGGACUGCAACACUCUUUAAUAAUACACUGCUGACAACAAAUGUACCCAAUGUAAACAAUAUCCAGGGUUCAAUACAACCAAGCUUGAUUCAGUGUGUUUUCAGCAUCCCCAUUGAUACAAACACCCUUAACUUCCUAAGCAAUGUCAAUGCCACAAAUGUCAACAUUAGCAACAUUGCUAAUUCCCAGCUGAAUGUUUUCCUUGACAUCUUGCAGGGUUCAACCAAUGGUGAGUUUGAUUAUUUUUCAACACACAAAAAAAUCUGGUUGUUAUUUGAUUCUGAUAUCUACCUUGAUCUCAGGACUGGACUUCUAGGUCUUUUUCUGUCCACAUUUGCAGGCUUGCAGAUACAGUAGUUUGGAAUGCAACUUCCAGGUUACUAAUCAAAUAAGCAAAUUUGUCACAUCAAACUCCCACAUCCAUGUGAACAAAACAUCUUAUAUUUUGUGUAUAUAAUCAGUCUAUAUACAGUAUAUAUAAUUUGUAGCGGGAAAAUGUAUAAUAAAUGCAAAACAGUAGCGUUUUUACUAGUUAUGUAUAAACACCGAGCUGAUAGACUGUCAUUUUGCACUUUGUUUUAUAGGAACUGUUCUGGGAGAACCAAAAAGUGUAUUUGGGUCCUCUGUUCCAGUGGAUCUAGCUAAUGUCAACUCCACUAAUGUUGUUGACCCCAUAGCUAAUUCAAAAGACAGCAUCUCACUCAACAGCCUACUGAGUCAUGCUGCAAUUUGCCUUCUCAGUAUCUUCUUGCAUCUGAUCUCAGGGUCCUGAGAGAGAGAUCUGAAGACUAACCAUGCUGUGGAUGGAGUAGUAUAGAUUUGCACUAGAAUCAGCAUGUUUUCCUAAAGUAUUCAUACCUCCACUGGUGUCUUUCUUUAUUUGAUUCUUAGAUUAUUCACAAACAUAUAGGAAACCCAUGUAUGUUUGACAUACACAGGGUGUUGGACACAUAUAUAAAGCUUAUAUAUAAACAUACACAUAUAUAAAGCCCAAUCACAUACACACACACACACACACGCACGCACGCACGCACGCACGCACGCACACACACACACACACACACACACACACACACACAUUAUCUUUUACAUUAUACUGACAGUGGAAAUGAUCCUGAAAACUUUUUGAAGUUACAUUAAAAGCUUAUUAACAAAAAUAAUAACAUUAAAAUACAGUGUUUUUUUUUUUUUUUUCUUUCUGGGGUGAUAUUAUCUAUUACAUACACACUGAAUAAUAUCUUCACUGCUCAUUUUGCAUGAACACCAUUUUAAGAAUCUCUGUCUACCACAAAACAAUAUAUGUGGCAGAACUAAUUGAGAGUGGUGUUUUAGAUUCUAACGAUAUUAAUAAGUAGUAAUAAAUAAAUUAUAAAUAAUUAUUCUGGAAGAUCUCUUAGACUGAACAUUUAAAAACAAAAUGAUAAAUAAAAUAGAUUACAAUUAGAUUAUGAUAAAUUUGCAACUAUCCUUCCAAGUGUGAUAAACUGUUACACUGAUAAAGAUGCAGUGUCUCAUGAUUUCUCUGCUGUACAUAAAACCUUUCAGUUAUAGUAACCUCACCUCACUCUAUCUGAAACAAAUCUUCUUUUUACACCUCAUCCAGUGAAGAGAGGUUUUGUGAGAUAUCACUACUUAUAAGCCAGCUUAUAAGCCAGAAAGCCUACAAUUCCUUCUCUAAUUGACAUGAUGACACGAGAGAGAACAAGUGGCAAAUGGAAAAUAAAGACUGUGAUUUAUGGCC